rnacentral:rRNA from 1 species
UACGGAGGGUGCAAGCGUUGUCCGGAAUCACUGGGCGUAAAGGGCGCGUAGGCGGCUCAUGAAGGCUGUGGUGAAAGUCCGGGGCUCAACCUCGGAUCGGCCGUGGCGACUCGUGGGCUGGAGCACUGUAGAGGCGGGUGGAAUUCCGGGUGUAGCGGUGGAAUGCGUAGAGAUCCGGAAGAACACCAGUGGCGAAGGCGGCUUCCUGGUCUGCAACUGACGCUGUGGCGCGAAAGCUAGGGGAGCAAACGGG